rnacentral:rRNA from 1 species
AUUGAACGCUGGCGGCAUGCCUUACACAUGCAAGUCGAACGGCAGCACGGACUUCGGUCUGGUGGCGAGUGGCGAACGGGUGAGUAAUGUAUCGGAACGUACCUUUCAGUGGGGGAUAACGUAGCGAAAGUUACGCUAAUACCGCAUAUUCUGUGAGCAGGAAAGCAGGGGAUCGCAAGACCUUGCGCUGAUUGAGCGGCCGAUAUCAGAUUAGCUAGUUGGUGAGGUAAAGGCUCACCAAGGCGACGGAUCUGUAGCGGGUCUGAGAGGAUGAUCCGCCACACUGGAACUGAGACACGGUCCAGACUCCUACGGGAGGCAGCAGUGGGAAUUUGGACAAUAGGGGGCAACCCUGAUCCAGCCAUGCCGCGUGAGU